GAUGAACGCUAGCGGCAGGCUUAAUACAUGCAAGUCGAGGGGUAGCAAGAUUGUAGCAAUACAAUUGUUGACGACCGGCAAACGGGUGCGGAACACGUACACAACCUUCCUACAAGUGGGGAAUAGCCCAGAGAAAUUUGGAUUAAUACCCCGUAACAUAGCGAUGUGGCAUCACAUUGCUAUUAUAGCUUCGGCGCUUGUUGAUGGGUGUGCGGCUGAUUAGAUAGUUGGCGGGGUAACGGCCCACCAAGUCUACGCUCAGUAGCUGAUGUGAGAGCAUGAUCAGCCACACGGGCACUGAGACACGGGCCCGACUCCGACGGGAGGCAGCAGUAAGGAAUAUUUGACAAUGGACGCAAGUCUGAUUCAGCCAUGCCGCGUGAAGGAUUAAGGUCCUCUGGAUUGUAAACUUCUUUUAUAAGGGACGAAAAAAGGUCUUUCUAGAUCGUCUGACGGUACCUUAUGAAUAAGCACCGGCUAACUCCGUGCCAGCAGCCGCCGCCGUAA
rnacentral:rRNA from 1 species